UCACCGGAAUGUUGAGACUGCGCAGUACGGCGUUGAUGCUGAGCACGUUCCUCAACGAAUUGUCAAUGUGUCCAUGAAGCGCCACGUUGGUGACCGAGCUGCGCAGCGAGUUGAGGGCUUGCUGGAGGAGCCAUAAGCCACACUGCACCUCCUGGGCUUUCUCCAUGGCCUGGCAAACAAAGCACAUCACGUAUACAAUAUCAAAGUCUACUGUGGUCUGGGGAACGGCGAUGGACUGGGACAGGCUACAUCCAUCUCGGCAUGACUUCUGAGGAGACAAGUGGAGGGAGGAACCGCACCUCGCAGAGUUUAAUGGGAAUGUCCAUAUAGCAUUUGCCCAAACAUCACUGAGGACUCACCAUUGCGACUUCUGCGUCUUGGGCUUCCUUGAUAAAAUGGUUGAGGACCCUCAGGUCACAGAUGGGCCUCAGUGGGGAUAGGAGGCUUGGGCGAGUCCACUCCAACAACAUCAACAGCAAGGCAAGUAGUCCUGGCAGACAGCAUCAAAGCAAUACACGUUCACAUUUUCAUGACUUUUUAAGACUAGAGCUGUCCUAUCGAGUCUUUGAGCAUGAACUGAUGAACUUGCUUGGAUGAGAGGCAUUUUUAGGAUACUGGUAUUUAUCCCUCCAUCCAUUUUCUAUCACUUUUAAAUCAAGGGGAUGUUAUUUGGUACACAUCCCUAAUAAAACUACUCUUGUUUAAAGUAGAUUAGGGCUAGUAAAUUCAACUGUUGUAAGUAUAGGGUCGUAACGAGAACUGGUAUACAGUCGUCCUUUUCCACUAAGCCUGCGUCUUCACUCUAUCGCAGAUUUUUUUUUGUCUUUAUUUCUCUUUUUUAAAGCUUAUUCUAAGUAUCUUUGGACUAUAUUGAGAAUUUUCAAAUGGCUAAAUGAAAUAAAAAAUACCAAUACUA